GCGCGUCGGGCGGGCUCAGCGCAGGGCUUAUGACGCGGCCCGGGCUCCCUGCAGCCGCGCGGCUCGGCGGUUUUCAGGCGAGGAAACCGAGGCACGCGGGAGUUCGGCAACGCGCGUCCGUAGCGAAUAACGGCCGGGGCACGAAUAAAGCGGCACCUGCGGCUCCCUCGCGGCUGCUGCCGGCCCACCAGAAGAGCCAGCGCCACAUCUUUCUAGCAGGAUGGGAAAUGCUCAUAAAUUGGCACCAAAUUCCACCCCAAACUUUCCACGCCCAAAAAGAGCGUUCGAAGGCAGGCUUUCUGCUUUCGCAUACCGAAGCUUUACCUCGCGCCACGCACCUGUGCUCCCUGCGUGGGGAGAAGGGGCUGCCUCCCUGCCGAGCCGAACUACAGAGCGGAGCACGGUGAGCCCGCAGGCACUGACACAGCGCCCAUGUGCAGCCACCGCUUCCCGCCCAGCAACCACACCUGGGUCCAACACAGCAGUUCGGGUGGUUCCGUUUGCACAGACGUGUAACAGCUGCCCCGGUACCCACCAGGGCUCCCAUUCCUACGCGUCCUAAAAGGUUGGAGAUGACAAGAAAAGUCUUCACCCCCAGGAUAUUUUUUCACUGUGACAAUAAAGCAAUUACACUGUUUUUCAUCGAACACCUCGAAGCAUCUUCAGAUUUUGAAGCCUAAACUAAGACUUUGAUUCCCCUUGUUCUUAUCUGCAUGAAUACCUUAAAAUAAACCUAAAAGGGGAAUUCUCUGUGUUUUCUCACUCUUGGAGCCCAGAGCAGCGAAGGCACAAAAGGGAGCAACUCCACCGCAUGCAUCCUGUGUAUUUGCAAGGCUCAGGGCCUCAGCUUUCCCCACCCCUGGUGCUGCUGCUUGCCGGUGCCACGCACCGGGGAUCUGUUAUCUGCCCCCAUAUUGCCAGCGUGACACUUUUAUUACCCAGCAUCUCUUCCCUGAGAUUCCAGAAACCUUCCUCCAGUGCUGAUGUGCAACGCUGCUAAAGCAGACAGAGAGCAGAGACCUCACUGAUGUGUAUUAUCUGAGCAGCACAGACCAGCUGCCCGUGCUCCAUACAGACCCAGGAGGGACUCCAUCAGCACUUGUUUGCUCGGCGGUCAGCCCCUGCGCCACUCAUGGACUCCUCCUCAGGAGCCUGUAAGAAGUGACGAAGGCAACAACAAAGCUAUCACCACUUGGUACCUGCUAUUUGGAGGAACACACUCCACAAGAGGAAUAUGAGUUCUGUUGGUUCGUUUAAGAGGUUCAUUUAAUGUAAAGGAUCAUUGGAAUUACUGGUUGUGCCACCUCUCUUAAUUCUUUCUAGGAAAGUUCAGAGCAGCUUCUGAGAAAACAUUAAAUGUGAAUGCACUCCGAUUUCUUCAGGGGAACAAUAACAAUGUUCCUGUCUCAAACUCCUUGGAUUUGAGACAAUAUUUUUAUCCUUAAUUGCUUUUCCUUUGCAUGCACAGCCAAGUUUAAGUUAUGUGUAGUAUUUUAGGAAGCAUUUUUCUUGGAAUCCCUGCAAGGCCAUGCAUGUAGGAACAGAACAAUAACGUGCAGGAUGGUGGGCCAUAUUUUAGUAAGCAGGGGCUAAAUGUGUUUUCUAAAGCUCGCCGAAUGUGAGCUUUCUGCAUUGCAAACACAGGUAGUCCAGGCUUUAUGAGGAAAGGAACGUAGCCAGGCAGGGAAUACCCCAACCUUCUGGGGUAUUUGUCUGUUUUGUCUCUGCAUAAGGUAUCACUGACACCGUUCUGGAAUGACGUACUCACAUGUCCAGAAAUACUGAAAAAAAAAACACAUUACCAUGAAUACUUCAGGUAUAAGCUUUGAUAUCGAUAUAGCUAUGGUCAAACAAGAAAGUAUGUGACGGAGCGUACCAGAGUAAGCCACGGGCAUCGUUAACAGAAGUCAGCUCUCAAAAAAGGGAUCUGAGUAGUCUACGAUGAGUUGUUCACUGCAGAAGCAGCUUUAGCAGCUUAGGACACCAUUAUGAUUCCUGCCUAAGAACAUCAGACAGCAGAAGUGACUGUAUGAGUGAUCCUCCCUUGCUUCUCAAUAAAAUCAGCACCCAGCUCAACCUGCUCAGACAGGCAGACUGCCUGUGGUGAUAGAGGAGGAUGGUAAAAGCAAGCCACGCGGGGCAGAGAAAGAAAUCUUAAUUCUGCAUUAAACACCUGCCCACCGAUGAGAAAAUCAAAACAGGAGAGACAGCCACAUAGCAGUUUGCUGCUGCUUCUGCUGGCUAGAUUUCAAGACGAUGAGUAAAAACCUGCUGUACACAGAAUCGGUAGGGAUUUUGCCAUGGACGGUAGCAGGGGCAGAAUUUCAGCCUUCAUCUUUAAUAAUGACCUCCACACUUCAAGUAUGCGCUUUGUUCUAAUAAAACCUCACACUUGAAGUAGGUCUUUGCCUUGCUCAGUCAUCUCUAUAGCGGUACUGAUAUUCAUUCUAGGAGCAUUUGGAGAAGACGUGUCAGGAGCAGAACAUGCUGACAUGCUGAACUUCUGCAGUCCCUUCUCCAAGUUGUUUUGCCAGGUAAAAUGUGAUGAGCUCCACAUAAACUGCUGAGGCAUUUAGAGAUCAUCAGUUCCACAGAGAAAACACUACCAGAUUUUUUGUAUCACUCACUUACAGAGAUGCAGAACAAGUGACAAAGAGAAUUAUGAAAGGAUAAAAGCUGUGUUCUCAGAGGAAAUCAAGACAGACUUCUAUUACAUUGAGAUCAGGGAGAUAACUUGAAGAACUUCAUAAACAUGUUCCUGAGAGAAAAGCAGCCCAAACAGAACAGCCCAAUUCAGAUUUUCAUUGUCAUAGGACCACGGACUUUGUGACAUCAGCUCAUAAACAGAGAAAAAGCACAGAUAGAGCUGCAAAUUUAUUCUCAACUUCCAUAUACGGAAUUGUCUAGAAAACAAUGAUUUAUAAAACCUAACACUUAAAUGGUUAUGUUUUAACAUAUUAGAUCAACACCAACAACUAAUAUUUACUGAUUUGGUAUUUUUUAAUACAAUGUUGUUUGAUGCAAUUGUAAGCUUGUAGUAAAUAAAUUUUUUGAUAGAGCUGUUCUACUAAUGUAUAUAUUCCUCUUGUGUAAAAUAAUACAAGACAUCGAGUGCUGAUUUUUCAAGUGGUUAAAAAAAAUGUUAUUUUUUGCUUAAAACAAUGUGGUGUCCAGUGUUUUCAGUACUAUAUCCACAGGCACUGCUUGAUACACUUUUAGCUCCAAAGACAUCAACUGGGCUAUUCUCAUGCAUAAAAUUAGACACAGGUCUUUGUCAGACUGGGUGCUUAUAUAUGCCUGAGGCAAUUAACAAUUCACUGGCUUUUUGUUUGUUUUCUUUUUUAAGGAAAGCAACAUACCAAUGAUUUCUAUUUUAAAGUUAAAGAAAUUGUUCUCUUUUUGUUACUGUUCCUUAAGACAUGUUCAGUUCUUAUUCAAUGCUAUCCCUAUUGUGUGUGUGUAUAUCUUCUCAUUCUCACAAGCAACAGAAAAUAUAUAUAUGAAGUUACCUCCACCGUCACUAUACUUAAAACACAUACACUUUUUUUGUUCUUUAAAAACAAAAUACAGACACAUUGAGAAUGCAAAAUCAUGUUGUAGUAUAUUUCUGACAUUUGUGGAUCUCUAUUUGGAUUUUGAAAGAAAAUAUUCACAUUCUUUCUUUUCUGUAUCAUAAGAGUAGAAAACAUCUGAGCAUCGUGUCUUCCUCUCCUACACAAAACAAACAA